rnacentral:sRNA from 1 species
GGGGAUCGAACCUGGGUCUCUUACUAGAGCAGCAAGUGGUCUUAACCACUGAGCCAUCUCUCCAUUCCACGUGGUCAGCGUCUUUAUGACAAAAAGUAAAAUUGAGUUCUUAAUGACAUAAUGAAGGGAUGAAAAGUUUAGAGUUACUGGGUAGAUAUUAAUAGACCUCAAAAGUACACGUGAGAGGAGGCUUUUGUCUCAAGGUGGGUCCACUGGCAAGACGAGGCCACAGUGAAAGCCAAGAUUUGUGGUGAGGCCCACAUUGAGCUUCAUUCAUAUGACGAUCUGGGCCCAUCACUCACCACUCUGAACUUCAGCUUCCUUAGCUCUAAGAUGAUGUCUAUAUAGAACCUCUCUACUUCCUAGAUUCUUACAAAGACCAAAUUAAACGAGGGCUUAUCUAAGUGGAUGCUUUGCUCUUCUUUAAUGACAGGAAUGUCUUGUGAGUCUUUGGCUCUUUAACCUCCAGCCUCUAACACUGCAGACAGCAGGCACCCGACAAAUUAUAUUAAACGGCACGUUGCUUGCCUAUGGUGCACAGGGCCCUGAGUUAGAUUGCCAGCACUGCAUAAAUCUAUGGAGUCUCCCGUGCUCAUAAUGACAGCACUUAGGGGGUGGAGGCAGGAGCAGCAGAGGUUCAAGGUCAUCUUUGGUUACACAGCAAACCUGAGGCUAGACUGGACUGCAUGAGACGCUAUCUCAUUUUUUUUUUAAAGGUCAGAUUGUGUUGUUCUUUAAGCAAGCCACUCUCUGCAUUGCUUGAAGCUCCUUAAUGAAUGUGACUUGGACUGUCCCAGAGGGCACUUACUCCUUCAGCCCAUCAUACCAGAUCAAGCUGCGCUUCUCUGAUGAAGUACAUCAUUGUCUUCCUCAGCUGCAACCCUUGAGCCAGUGAUUCCAUUAUAUCACGUGGCUUUCCUCUGGCCCCCGUUCAUUCAUAUCCACACAAUGUCAUUUGUCGUAUGAAGGGAUUUGCCAUUCAGGAUCGCAAGUCUUGUCAUCCUGGGUAGCUCUGCGUUGCUUUAUCUGAGCUUGCGAAACGGCUCCGAACGUGAGCAGUCAGAAUCAAGUCCUGUUCUUGCCCUUCAUCACACUUGGCACGUUCUCUUUCCGGACACAUCCAGUGGAUAUUGUGCAGACUUUCUCCAGCUAAUCUCAGGAAGACUGAAGUUUUUAGACAGCCACCCUUCAUAUUUAGGGGAUGUAUUCUUCCACAGAUCCUGAGGAAACCCUGAAUGAAGUCCAAUCAGAUCAUUUGCCCCUUGGUGCACAUUGACACUACUCUCCGUAGGGUUUGACCUACCUUCUCUGAGGAUAGCAUCCAAAAAAGAGAUCCCACCACGUCUGCUGAUCCUAGGAAUGGGAUAUGGCUGCGUUUUAGAGAGAAAGGAGAAAAUUGCUUUUCCAUUCCAAAAGUAUAAGACUAUGACUCACGCUGGAAUUGGUUCAGGUACUGGCUGAAAAAAAGAUCCAGAUUGACAACAAAAGCUAAGGGCUGGGAGGAAGACAAGGUAACAGGUUAGAACUCAGAGAUGUGCAUGUAGGCCCUUAGGUCCACUGGAAAGAUACAAGGGAGUAAGUUAGAGGCGCAUUUUAAAACAGCGGAGUUACUAAUGUAAACAAAUCAACCGAAGAACCACCUUCCAAGUGAUUUUCAAGAUCCUAGAUAAUCAGAGGAACUCCAAACUCCAAACCCCGCAAGUGAAGGGGAAAUCCAAAGAAAACGAACCUAGCCUCGUAAACAAAGUGGAAAUUUCCUUCUGUCCAAAGGCGAGACAGUUCCAGCCGUAGAGGAAGGAAAGGGCGAAAACACAGUUCUGCCUGAAAUGACCUCCUAUUUUAAGAAAAAUCAACAGCCCCAAAAGGAGGAAAGGAAAAACAAAGUUCCACCCAGAAGGAAAUUGUAUGUAAACAGCCCGAAGGGAACCGGAGGUCUGAGAGGGCUAGUACAGGGAACGGAGCAAGCAGGGAAAGGCGCCAUUAGCCUCUGACAAUGUCAGCCCUGAACUUUGCAAGGACUGCUUUGUGAUUGACAAAAAACUGCUUGGGGGUAGGAGGCGCCAGACAAAAGCAAGUCCCCUCUGCAGCACGGAAACUUUGAUCUUUGGAGUUUGCUAUUUUUUCCCCCAGGACUUUGCUAGUGUGUAACUCGGGGAAGACCAGCAACCACAAAUGUUGGCUAUAAUUUUCUGCAAUUUGUCACAUGCCCUCUUAGAGCCCUGGUGAGACGGUUUUCUUUGUUUUCCCCCCCGGCUGCAUCCUGUAUGCUAGCAAGGUAGUUCAAAAAAGAUAAGAGGAAUCCUCCUUCAAUGCUUACAGUUUUGGGGCUACAUGAACCCACAGUCCAGUGUGUGUGUGUGUGUGUGUGUGUGUGUGUGUGUGUGUGUGUGUAGUGUGUGUGUGUGUACGCACGCACACGCACCUUAGCAAACUUGUGCUUCAGGACACCAUUUACAUACCUUUAUUUUACAUUACAUUAUAUUAUAUUUUAUUAUAUUUUAUUUUGUUUUUAAACGGGAUCUCUAAACAGCCUAGAGCUUACUAAUUGGGGUAGUCUGGCUGGCCAGUGAGCUCUAAGAAUCUUGUUGCCAACUAAGACAAGGAAUAGAGGUGUGUAUCACGGCACCCUGGCCUUUAUUUUGUUUUAUUUCAUUAAUAAUAUUUUUAAUGCGAAUUCUGGGAACUCCUCCUGCUUAUAAAGUGAUGGUUUUACCAACUGAGCCGCCACCCCAGCUCCGAUGGGCCUAUUUUAAUUUUAUUUUUCUAUAAACACAUUUGUUUGGCCCAGACAGCAUCUAAUCCACCUUUGGGUCUAUCGCUUAAGAAUCAAGAGAUUCCAUGAAAAAUUCGUAUUUUUUAUUUGCUGCUGACAUUUUUGAUAGCAUAGAUAUUAAGCUGAUAUAGGGGUGAGAUCUUCUGGGGCUGGGUACCCAAUGCCCUGUUCAGGUUGGACUUGCACGUGAUAACUUGACGUUCCAUCAGUCGACUUGUUUCUGUCAUGUCUUGCUGGGCCCUCCCAUGGGAGUUCAUAUCGGUUUCCAAAUUGGUCCGUAUACAUCCCUAGGAAUUGUCCUUGUUUCAUCCAGGGUGCCACAGACUGCUAGGGACAUUAGGUCUGCUUUUGAACCUAGCAUAGCGUUGUUUUGUGAUGGGUGUUCUCUGUGAGAAGAGAGGGAAUCCAGCGUCUAUGCCCACACUGCUUCAGUCUGUAAGCUAGGUCCAGAGUGAAUCGCAGCAGUCUUCUCUAAGACACAUCCCCUACAUGUGAUAGUAUUCACUCUAAAUCUCUAUAUGCAGAAUCAUAUUGAUGCUACAGAAAUCUCUUUCUUGUCAGAGACUUUCUAGGUAGCAGCACCUGGGACAGUUCAAACAGAGCCCAAAGUGAGCAAAAGGGAACAGCCCAAUACACUAUGUCACAUAGUUUAGUACAAGCCUAUGGAGCAAUAAUUUGUUCAUCCAUCCAUCCAUCCAUCCACCCAUCCAUCCAUCCAGCCAGCCAUUCAUCCAUCCAUCCAUCCAUCCAUCCAGCAUUCUUUUAGCUAUAUUCUCAGACUUAUUCUCAGCCUUAGAAAACGGGCCUGCAGGCAUUCGUCCACUCCAACUGUUUUUUGUACAAUCUCAUCAUGGUUCUUUACCUUGGUCAUUUCUGCAAUUCAGUGGAGACCAGUAUAUAACCAACCCUUUCACACAAAAUGGCCUGCCAGAAGCCCAGGGGUGAGCUGAUUUUCAAAGGUCUCCAACCCUUAAGUGAACCUCCUUUGGUGCUUUCAGGGAUUCUGUUGUUGGAGCCACAAGGACCCUUAAGAAAAAUCCUUGGGGGCAGCUGGUCCCUGCUGUCAUUGAAACCCAAAGGAGGAACACCAUGGGUGAGGAACUGCUGCCUGGAUGUCAUGAGGUUGCUUGUAUUUCAAAAGAACUCAGCUUACCACCUCUGUGGCUUUUAGCCUCUCUAAUAAAGCAGUUUUUAAAAAGCUAAAAACGUAAUCUGCCUUUUAAAUCUGCUGUUCCUGCCGAGUCUAAAUGGGGUUGCAGCAAAAUGCCCAGCCAGCAUUAGAGCUCCCUGAAGUCAAUCAACUGAAAUGCGGUUGCUUGGGGGGCUGAAAUAUAUUUGAAAACACUCUGGGGGUGGCACAAAAUAACUGAACAAAGGCGAAUUACACGAAAGGAAGAAGCAGGCAGAGGCUUCUGAGGCAAAAGGAUCCCUUCUGAGUUCUUGAAAGCAUGGAAACUGAGGUAGGGGUCCCGACCUUAACUAUUGAUCUACCUCCUCAGAAUAAUGUUUUUUUUUCCUUUUGGCAUUAGAAAAAUAUUAUCACAGUGAAUGUUGCUUCAAAUUUGAAGCACAGACUAGCCAGAAAUAUGCAGACUGUUUGAGUAAAUGCCCUAACACCCUCAGAGGACAGGCUGAAAACAAAGAUGGGCUUGACUGUAAAGUCAUCACGCAGCCUUUCAGGGGUCACUCUCACACGCUUUCCUGAUCCCGUUAGGAAAGUACAAGAAUUCUCAGUGACUUGGUUGUUUGCUAAGGGGAACUCUAGUUUUCUGUGUAUCCCAUUGAAAAUAAGUCAACAUGAAGAAAACUAGGAAGAAAAUCUGCUAUCAAUAAACUAGUUUUUAAAAACAAAGACACCUACAAAGAAAGUAUUAUCUUCUUAAUAAUUUUUUGAAAGGAUGGAUGUGGUUUGUGAAAAGAGUGAUGUAUGGUGAUUUAUGGUGGCGUAGAAGUCCAUUUUGGAUUACCUAACAAACAUAACCUAUCUGACAGGGCUAGUUUGUUCUAUCUUCAGUGUAUAUCUAGUGGGAUAUCAAAGAGAGAGGGAACAGAAUCCACCUCUUAAUAAAUUAGCAUUAGAUUUAAAUGGGUUGCCUUUAGAUUGUAUGUGGACCAAGUGAAUUUUAUACUUAGAUAUAUGGAAAGGACAGCAAUAGCAACACAGGAGGGUACUUGAAGGUACCUCUCUUUGAUUUUCACUCUACACAAGGUAUGUAGAGAAGACUAUGUUGCUAGAAAUUUUUUUUUUCUUUGUUGGAUGACACUGUGGAGGUAGAAGCUUGUAUGUACUUUUUCUUCCACUGUGCAAUUGCUUGCUGUCCUUAUAAGGCCAACGAGAGCUCUGAAUGCACAGACACAAGAGUGCCACGUUGAAUGUCCCAAGACACAAGGGUGCAGUGUGCAAUGACCCAGGAUACAAGAGCACAGUGUGCAAUGUCUCAGGACACAAGGGUGCCUCGUGCAGUGCUGUAGGACACUUGAGAAGGUGGGUGCAUUUGAGAACAAAUUGCAAGGGAUUGAAGCCUUGGUUUGGGUAAGAAUGGAAAAAUCUAGAUGCUUGGCCAAGGCAGUUCUGAAGGACUUUGAUCCGGAUAUCUCAGGAGAAUGAACUUGAACCAUGCCAGCAUUCUCUGGUUUUGGACAGGCAAAGAAUAUAGUAAAGAAAUAAAUAAAACCCAGAAUUUUUAAUGGGUUUUUAGAACUUCCACUUCUGGCUGCAAGUGGGAGACAAAAGGCAAAUAGAUAUUGUCCUGAAAAUGCUAAGCCAGGAUUUUUUUUUUUUUCUAACCUCAGAAAAACACUGGGGUUUGAUGAGGUUCAGCUUUGGGGCAAGUUUCAGGACAGUGUUUGUUCUAGCAACUUCCUCCCUUCUCUGUGGAAAGUCUGUUGGAGUCUGUUGUGGUUCUGGAGGCCAAGCUCUGAGGGCUCUAGGCUUCAGUGUCAUGAGACGGGCUCCAAUCUGUCAUUUGUGUCUCUGCCCACACUUUCCUCAGUGUGUUUUUUGGACCAAGGCCUUCCCAGACAAGUCCCUACAUGAAGGAGAGCCCAGACCCUUUCUCAUCCAGUUCUUUCUGGAAGAACCUCCAUGUUUAUGCCCAAUCUCCCAGAAUUCCCUGGAUAUACCAGUCUCUGCUCCCUUAGAAGGGUGAUGCCCCUGUUUCUGCCAUAGUUGUGUCCAAUUCCACCAUUAAGGAUGUGCCUUGGAUCUGGGGACAUUCCUUAUAUGUUGACUCAGGGCAGAAGCUGCAUAACACUUUAACUCUGGAAAAUCAUUAUUGUCUGGGUCCUAGAAUUCGGGAUAUAUCUUCC